AUUGAACGCUGGCGGCAGGCCUAACACAUGCAAGUCGAACGAAAGGCGGACGGGUGAGUAGUGUCUGGGCAACUGCGCGAUGGAGGGGGAUAACUACUAGAAACGUUAGCUAAUACCGCAUACCAUCGGAUGGGCCCAGGUGGGAUUAGCGAGUAGGUGGGGUAAUGGCUCACCUAGGCGACGAUCCCUAGCUGGUCUGAGAGGAUGACCGGCCACACUGGGACUGAGACACGGUCCAGACUCCUACGGGAGGCAGCAGUGGGGAAUAUUGCGCAAUGGGCGAAAGCCUGAUCCAGCCAUGCCGCGUGUGUGAAGAAGGUCUUCGGAUUGUAAAGCACUUUUAGUAGGGAGGCGUUACCAACACAAUAAGCACCGGCUAACUUCGUGCCAGCCGCCGCGGUAAUUC
rnacentral:rRNA from 1 species